UUAAACGUCCCUACCACGUUGAAUGCACCGCGACCGAUUCUCGUCCGAUCACCGAAGCUAAGCACGGCCAGGCGCGGUCAGUACUUGGAUGGGUGACCGCCUGGGAACACCGCGUGACGUUAGCU
rnacentral:rRNA from 1 species